CCAAUAGCGUAUAUUAAAGUUGUUGCAGUUAAAAAGCUCGUAGUUGAAUUUCGGGAUCAGUACGCCGGUCGUGCCUUCGGUAUGUACUGGUGUUACUGGUUCCUACCUUCUGACGAACCGUCAUGUCAUUAAUUUGGUGUGGCGGGGAAUCAGGACUGUUACUUUGAAAAAAUUAGAGUGUUUAAAGCAGGCUCGCGCUUGAAUACAUUAGCAUGGAAUAAUGAAAUAGGACGUUCGAUCCUAUUUUGUUGGUUUCUAGGAUUGACGUAAUGAUUAAUAGGGAUAGUUGGGGGCAUUAGUAUUCAAUUGUCAGAGGUGAAAUUCUUGGAUUUAUUGAAGACUAACUACUGCGAAAGCAUUUGCCAAGGAUGUUUUCAUUAAUCAAGAACGAAAGUUAGGGGAUCGAAGACGAUCAGAUACCGUCGUAGUCUUAACCAUAAACUAUGCCGACUAGGGAUCGGAUGAUGUUAAUUUUUUAAUGACUCAUUCGGCGCCUUACG
rnacentral:rRNA from 1 species